rnacentral:ncRNA from 2 species
CAACGUUCUCAGGGCGGGGUGUAAUUCCCCACCGGCGGUAAUGAUGCGCAAUGCGUCUAGCCCGCGAGCGCUUGGUGCCCUUGUUAGGUCAAUGGGUGACAAGGUCAGCAGACCCGGUGUGAUUCCGGGGCCGACGGUUACAGGCUUUUGCAAACACUGUUUAUGCGGUGUUUUGCAGGGUUCUACAGUCCGGAUAAAGAGAGAGCGGGU